rnacentral:lncRNA from 1 species
UUUAAAUAUCAAUAUUUUGGUUUCAAAACUCAGAUUUGUAUCUCUAGCCUCAGCCUCUUCCCAAACCCCAGACUGCCUCUUGACAUCCAAUUUGGCUAUGUAUCAUCUCAAACUUAAAAUUUUAAGACCAACUUCUAAUCUGUCUACUCAAGCCCCACACUCCCACAGUCUUUCCCAUCUCAGAAAAUGGCAGCUCCAUUCCCUGGUUGCCUCAGGAUAAUCUUGGAGUCACCUCUGACCUUUCUUCCCUGUCUCAUAUUUCUACUAGGAAAUCCCGUCAGUUCUACCUUCAAA